rnacentral:rRNA from 1 species
GACGAACGCUGGCGGCGUGCUUAACACAUGCAAGUCGAACGGAAAGGCCCUGCUUUUGUGGGGUGCUCGAGUGGCGAACGGGUGAGUAACACGUGAGUAACCUGCCCUUGACUUUGGGAUAACUUCAGGAAACUGGGGCUAAUACCGGAUAGGAGCUCCUGCUGCAUGGUGGGGGUUGGAAAGUUUCGGCGGUUGGGGCUGGACUCGCGGCUUAUCAGCUUGUUGGUGGGGUAGUGGCUUACCAAGGGUUUGACGGGUAGCCGGCCUGAGAGGGUGACCGGCCACAUUGGGACUGAGAUACGGCCCAGAAUCCUACGGGAGGCAGCAGUGGGGAAUAUUGCACAAUGGGCGGAAGCCUGAUGCAGCAACGCCGCGUGCGGGAUGACGGCCUUCGGGUUGUAAACCGCUUUCGCCUGUGACGAAGCGUGAGUGACGGUAAUGGGUAAAGAAGCACCGGCUAACUACGUG